rnacentral:lncRNA from 1 species
GGCUGAACUUGAACUGGAUUGAGUGAAUAAUUUCUUAAAAACAAUCAAAAUCACAGAUUUAUUCUAUUUUAAAUACUUAUAUUUACUUAUAUUUCAUUCAGAAAUUAGUUAACAAAUAAUUUUUGAGUAUCCUGGGAACUGUUCUAAUCAUUAAACAUGCAAGUUUGAAGAAAGUAAGGAUGAAUCUGCCUGCGUGGGGCUCUCAAUCUAGCGAGAAGCAGAUAAGAAGACAAAUGUCAGGGAAGAUCACACAACCUUCAGGUAAUAUUUAAGCUGAGACCUCACUAGUUGCUAAGACUGGAUUUCAGAGGUCAGGUUUGGAUAUACAAAAUUUAGGAGCUGGUACAUGACAUUUAAAACCAUGGGAAUGAAUGAGAUUUCCUAGAUAGAAAGAAGAAAAGAAUAUUGACAUUUAAUGUUGAACGGAGUAGGAGGAGCUGAACAGGGAGACCAGGAAGGAGCAGACAGUGAACCUGGAGCAUGAAUAGGAGAGUGGGUGUCAUGGAAGCCAAGAGAAACAAGAAUUCAAGAAAGAAAGUUUCUUACUGUAGCAAAUGGCGCUGAGAGGGAAAGUAAGGCCAUGGAAUGAUGACAAUGACAACAGUGACGAAGGAUCAUUGAGUAUGUUGCAGGUCUCUUGGAGUUUACUGGAGGUCGAUUCCAGAACCUGUUUGCCUGGGCAUCACCAGUGGAGGCUGCAGAACAGCAAAUAUUGCUGCCCGAUCUUUCCUCUGGAAGCUUCAUCUGAGAGGGGCACCCACCUGUUUGAGGUGUCUUUGCUCCCCUUCUGGGAGAUGUCUCCCAGUCAGGCUACACAGGGUUCAGGGACCCACUUGAGGAGGCAGUAUGUCUGUUCUUGGAGCUCGAAUGCCAUGCUGAGAGAACCACUGCUCUCUUCAGAGCUGUCAGACAGGGAUGUUUAAGUCUGCAGAAUCUGUCUGCUGCCUUUCGUUCUGCUAUGCCCUGCCCCCAGAAGUGAAAUCUAGAGAGGCAGUAGGCCUUGCUGAGCUGUGGUGGGUUCCAGCCAGUUUGAGCUUCCUGGCAGCUUUGUUUACACUGUGAGCUACUCAAGCCUCAGCAAUGGCAGAUGCCCCUCUCCCCAUCAAGCUGCAGCCCCACAGGUUGAUCUCAGACUGCUGUGCUAACAGUGAGCAAGUCUCCGUGGCUGUGGCACCCACCAAGCCAGGCAUGGGAGGGUAUCUCCUGGUCUGCUAUUUGCUAUGACAAUGGGAAAAGUGCACUAUUUGGUCAAGAGUGUACCGUUUCUCUUUUUGGUGGUGAUGGAUGUGCUGGUGAUGGUUGAUUGUUGUGAUGGUUUUGUAGGUGUGUGCCUGUGUCAAUGCAGAUCAAAUUUUAUAUUGUAAACACAUGAAGUGUACUGGAUGCCAAUUAUAUGUCAAUAAAGCUAUUUUAAAA